GGCCGGGUAGCUCAGUCGGUAGAGCAGCGGACUGAAAAUCCGCGUGUCGGCAGUUCGAUUCUGCCCCCGGCCACCA
rnacentral:tRNA from 1 species